UUGCCACAAAGAAAAAAAGAAUCAUGCUCCCGUUUCUUUCUCCUCGUGCUUCAGUCUCAGAGUCUCGGGAACUCUUAUUCUCUCUCCUCCAUUAGCUCUCCUUCGUGAUUCUCUCUCCUCACCCGCUGCAACCACUGCACCGCCACCAUCUUCACGCUGCCAUAAUCUACGGGUCAUCUUCUCUGCUACAAUUGCUUUGAUUUGAUGUUCUUCAUGUGGGAAAUACUGCAACACUCAAUUAUUCACUUGAAUCUGCAAUAAUCGAGCUUAAAAUUGAAGGAACAAUAUGAUGGAUUGGAUCUGAUAGAAAAUGAAGAUCAAGUAGUUGACAUUGAGAAUCAUGCACACACAAGGGAAGACAAUUGAAGAUGAAAAGAUAGAAGACAAUACAUUUGAUGUUUAGAUAUGAUCAUUUGGUUUUAUUUAGAACAUCAUAAUGUAAUUUUCAUAGAGCAUACAUCAAAUACAUUAGAAUGUUGUUUAUUAGUUUAACCUUCAAAAUGACAUUUGCAUAUUUGUUCAAAUAAUUAUUUCGGAUUCAUAUUAUUAAUACUAUUCUUCUUUUUAUUGUUAA